AACGUUGUUGCAGUUAAAAAGCUCGUAGUUGAAGUGAAGUAAUGAAGUUGUGACUUGAUUUCUCAUUUCGCUCCUUAAUUACUCUUUCCAAACUGUUUGCACGGGUAUUCAUUUACUUGUGUAUUGCAUUUGGUCGUUUACUGUGAGAAAAUUAGAGUGUUCAAAGCAUACGUUUGUUUGAAUACAUUAGCAUGGAAUAAUUCGAAAAGGCUUUCAUGUUCGAUUUGAUUGGUUUGUUCGUGAGAGCAAGAUUAAAAGGGACAGUUGGGGGUAUUCAUAUUCAAUAGUCAGAGGUGAAAUUCUCGGAUUUAUGGAAGAUGAACUAGUGCGAAAGCAUUUACCAAGGAUGUUUUCAUUAAUCAAGAACGAAAGUUAGGGGAUCGAAGAGGCUUAGAUACCCUCGUAGUCUUAACUAUAAACGAUACCGACUAGGGGUUAGUGGAGGUCAUUUGUCUCUACUAGUACCUUAUGAGAAAUCAAAGUCUUUGGGUUCCGGGGGGAGUAUGGUCGCAAGGCUGAAACUUAAAGGAAUUGACGGAAGGGCACCACCAGGAGUGGAGCCUGCGGCUUAAUUUGACUCAACACGGGGAAACUUACCAGGUCCAGACAUAGGAAGGAUAGACAGAACAAAGCUCUUUCUUGAUUCUAUGGGUGGUGGUGCAUGGCCGUUCUUAGUUGGUGGAUUGAUUUGUCAGGCUAAUUCCGAUAACGAACGAGACCUCCGCCUGCUAAAUAGAAAGUUAUAAUUCGUUAUAGUUUUCUUCUUAGAGGGACACUAUACAUGAAGUGUAGGGAAGCUGGAGGCAAUAACAGGUCUGUGAUGCCCUUAGAUGUCCUGGGCUGCACGCGCGCGACACUGAUUGAUUCAACAAGUGGCUGAUUCGAAAGAAUUGGC
rnacentral:rRNA from 1 species